AUUGAACGCUGGCGGCAGGCCUAACACAUGCAAGUCGAGCGAGCGGCGGACGGGUGAGUAAUGUAUGGGGACUGCCCGAUAGAGGGGGAUAACUACUGGAAACGGUAGCUAAUACCGCAUACUAUCGGAUAACCCAUAUGGGAUUAGCUAGUAGGUGGGGUAAUGGCCCACCUAGGCGACGAUCCCUAGCUGGUCUGAGAGGAUGAUCAGCCACACUGGGACUGAGACACGGCCCAAAAUCCUACGGAGGCAGCAGUGGGGAAUAUUGGACAAUGGGUGAAAGCCUGAUACAGCCAUGCAGGGUGUAUGAAGAAGGCCCUAGGGUUGUAAAGUACUUUCAGUCGGGAGGCGUUACCGACAGAAGAAGCACCGGCUAACUCCGUGCCAGCAGCCGCGGUAAUUC
rnacentral:rRNA from 1 species